AUUGAACGCUGGCGGCAUGCCUAACACAUGCAAGUCGAACGGCAGCACGGGAGCUUGCUCCUGGUGGCGAGUGGCGGACGGGUGAGUAAUGCAUAGGAAUCUGCCCCAGUAGCGGGGGGACAACUUGGGGAAACUCAAGCUAAUACCGCAUACGCCCUACGGGGAAAGCGGGGGACCUUCGGGCCUCGCACUAUUGGAUGAGCCUAUGUCAGAUUAGCUUGUUGGUGGGGUAAAGGCCUACCAAGGCGACGAUCUGUAGCUGGUCUGAGAGGACGAUCAGCCACACUGGGACUGAGACACGGCCAGACUCCUACGGGAGGCAGCAGUGGGGAAUAUUGCACAAUGGGCGAAAGCCUGAUGCAGCAAUGCCGCGUGUGUGAAGAAGGCCUGCGGGUUGUAAAGCACUUUCAGUAGGGAGGAAACAGUAGCCGGUUAAUAUCCGGUUGCCUGACGUUACCUACAGAAGAG
rnacentral:rRNA from 1 species